rnacentral:rRNA from 1 species
GAGUUUGAUCCUGGCUCAGAUUGAACGCUGGCGGCAUGCCUUACACAUGCAAGUCGAACGGCAGCACGGGAGCUUGCUCCUGGUGGCGAGUGGCGAACGGGUGAGUAAUGCAUCGGAACGUAUCCUGGAGUGGGGGAUAACGUAGCGAAAGUUACGCUAAUACCGCAUAUUCUGUGAGCAGGAAAGCGGGGGAUCUUCGGGCCUCGCGCUCUUGGAGCGGCCGAUGUCGGAUUAGCUAGUUGGUGAGGUAAAGGCUCACCAAGGCGACGAUCCGUAGCAGGUCUGAGAGGAUGAUCUGCCACACUGGAACUGAGACACGGUCCAGACUCCUACGGGAGGCAGCAGUGGGAAUUUUGGACAAGUGGGGCAACCCUGAUCCAGCCAUGCCGCGUGAGUGAAG